rnacentral:rRNA from 1 species
UACGAAGGGGGCUAGCGUUGCUCGGAAUCACUGGGCGUAAAGGGUGCGUAGGCGGGUCUUUUAAGUCAGGGGUGAAAUCCUGGAGCUCAACUCCAGAACUGCCUUUGAUACUGAGGAUCUUGAGUUCGGGAGAGGUGAGUGGAACUGCGAGUGUAGAGGUGAAAAUUCGUAGAUAUUCGCAAGAACACCAGUGGCGAAGGCGGCUCACUGGCCCGAUACUGACGCUGAGGCACGAAAGCGUGGGGGAGCAAACGGGG